GGCCCAAUGGUCUAGUAGUAUGAUACCCGCUUCGGGUGCGGGUGGUCCCGGGUUCAAUUCCCGGUUGGGCCC
rnacentral:tRNA from 1 species